AAAAAUAAUAAUAAUAAUAAUAGGCGUAGGGAUGUGACGACCCCAUCGCCCGCUGGUUUUACCAGUGCAAUCAGUCAACGCAGGGCAGCUUGUGGCGAGCUGUUGGGGAUUAGCGACCUCACGUACCCGAGUGCUCCUGGGGACAUCCGCUCGGUGUACCCCUUACAUUUCAUUAAAGUGUCAAAAGGGCAUCUACGUGUUGGCUUCGGCUCCGCGCACGCCUCCCAAAGGUCCGGAACACCAUUGUUCCGUGAUGGGAAAGACAUAAUAAUAAUAAACUUCUAAAAAUGCGCGUUUUCCCAGAGAUAAGACCUAGCUAGAUCAAUUUAUCGCCCCCGAAAACCCCCAUAUAGCAAAUUUCAUCGAAAUCGUUUCCGAGAUCCCCGAAAUAUAUGUAUAUAUAUAUAAAUAAAUAAACAAGAAUUGCUCGUUUAAAGGUAUUAGAUAAAAAUAUUUUCCAUAACGUCAAUAUCCAGAGAAGAAAAUGGGGACUACGUUUGUAUGGAGAAGCGGUCGUCACCUUUCCUCUUAACUUAAUUAUCUUAAAAUCUGGCAUCAUUGAAAGCAACUUCAUUAUUAAUUUUUUACUGUGUACGCAGUGUGUGGUCGCAAGAUCACAAUAAAAAUAGGUGUGUCUGGCAAGUGGCAAAUCAAUUCGUCAGUAGAAAAAGGCGAAACUCAAUUUUUUUUAUGGAACAUCGAGUCUGCGCAUUCUUUUUUUUUAAUUGGCCGCAUUUUUCUACUGACAUAAUUGGUUUUCCAGACUAUUUUAUCCUCCUAAGGCCCAGCCAUACAAAUGAAAAAUGCAAAAUUGGCCACAGAAAUUUGAUUUGAUAGCUGUUGGUCCGAAACGCGAUUCGUCCAAAUGAAUUUAAGUACGCUUUUCGCCCAACACGCUUUUCGUCCAACACGCUUUUAGGCCAACACGCUUUUCGCCCAACACGCUUUUAGGCCAACACGCUUUUCGUCCAACACGCAUUACGUCCAACACACUUUUCGUCCAACACGCAUUACGUCCAACACGCUUUACGUCAAAAUACAUCCUGUAUAUAGGUGCGGGAAAGGUGCGUAAAUAGUUAUUUGUGCAACAAGAGAGGAAAGUUGGUUUUUCUUGCGAGUGUUUAUUUUGAGUCCCGAGUAAGCGAAAGAUUCUAUCAUUGAAUCACGAGCGAAGCGAGUGAUUC